rnacentral:rRNA from 1 species
AUUGAACGCUGGCGGCAGGCCUAACACAUGCAAGUCGAACGAGUGGCGGACGGGUGAGUAAUGUCUGGGAAACUGCCUGAUGGCGGGGGAUAACUACUGGAAACGGUAGCUAAUACCGCAUACCAUCAGAUGUGCCCAGAUGGGGGUAGCUAGUUGGUGGGGUAACGGCUACCAAGAGCGACGAUCCCUAGCUGGUCAGAGAGGAUGACCAGCCACACUGGAACUGAGACACGGUCCAGACUCCUACGGGAGGCAGCAGUGGGUAAUAUUGCACAAAGGGCGCAAGCCUGACGCAGCCAUGCCGCGUGUAUGAAGAAGGCCUUCGGGUUGUAAAGUACUUUCAGCGGGGAGGCGUUACCCGCAGAAGAAGCACCGGCUAACUCGGUGCCAGCCGCCGCGGUAAUUC